AACAGGGCAGCUGCACUUUGUUUUGUAGUAAAAGGCAAAAAUCUUUAAAGAAGGCAGACUUAUUUGGCUUGCUAGUCAAGAUGGAUAACAUUUUAUUUUACAUGCUGGACUUACUGACUUUUCGUUGGGUGGCCAAAUUUGGAAGCAGAUUAGAUGCACCUGGUGGCUGCUGCAGUGCAAUCUGU